GCCGCCUCCCGGCCGCCCUCCGCCCCGCGCGCUCGUUGAGGCCGGUGCUCCAGAGUGAAGAGCGUGGCGGUGCGGCGGUAGCGCAGGGCCCUCCUGCGGGGCCAGGCAGGGGCGGGUGGGCGCUCCUUGCCACCUUUCUGCUCUCCCUGCUGUCCGAGAAGUUCGUGCGGUGCCAGCCCAGCUCCCAGCUGGGGACAGAACAGGAAACGUCCCCGGCGAGCCUGGCGGGGGUGGCGGCAGGGGUGUCUGUCGCCUGCGCUGGGCAGGACGCGCGUCCUACCGGCCUCCCACUCCGCGGGCCUCACCAGCCACCUCAUUCCCGGAGCCCGGGCCGCCGAGAGCGCCGCGGAUGGACCUCAGGGAAGGCCUGGCGCGCCGCCUCCGGGAAGCCUUCCGGCCUUCUCCCUCCACCGAGUACUGGGGAGUCUCAGGCCACGGUGAAUGAAGAGCAACGGGCCGGAGAGACCUCGGCCUCUGCCCAGGAGCAGCGCCCAGCAACCCCGCCCACAGGGGACCCGGUGGACGCCCUGGUGGCCACUUUGCCAGGCUCCCCAUCUCCCAGCGAACCAGAGAGGAUUUCCGUUCCCCUCCUGCUUGGUGCCUAGCGCCAGGGCGGGGCGUGGGCUGAGCAGCCCCUCCCAUGGAGGGAGCGGCCAGUCUACAUAUUGGAGGUGGGGCUCUGGGGAAAGGGUGUUGUUAGGAAGGCGGUUUGAGGCAGCGGGAGGUGGGGAUGCGCCCGGCGGGGAGGGGCAGGUGUGUGGGGAGGGCCUGGGGAGCGCCUCCCCAGCCGGGCAGCGCUUCCCCAGCCAGGCCCCGCAGCUGGACCCCGGCUCCGUCCAGCCUGGGAAAGGACUCCACGGUUUAUGCUGAAGUGGUGGUGGGGUGGGUGAACGCUGCGCAAUGGAAGGGCAUGGCCCUGUGCUAAUUGCCCCGGGGUGUGGGGCUGUGGAGGCACUGCGGGGGGGAUGUGCUGUGUCAGUUGGGCAAUGGCGGCCAACUGUGGCGUGCAGGCCUUGGAGCUGCCCCUCCAUGGAGCUUUAAUAAAGGCACUAGCCCUGCAAUUUCUGCCUGAGUUUCUGGCCCACAGCUUGGCCGACUGCAGCCCCUGAGAUUGGAGGCUUCUGCUCAAGACGUGGGCAGGGAGCUCGGGGCUCCCUGGGCUGGGGCCCUGCCCCGCUGGCCUCUACCCUGGCCCCUGCUGGAAAGCCCGUCAGGGCUGCUCUGAGCUGGGGACAGCUCCUCCCUGCCCACAGCAAUCUGGGGGAGCCCCGGUUUGUCCAGUGCCCCUGUGAGCCCUGCUGUGUACCAGCCACCUGUGGGAGUGUCCGCCAGUCACCUCCCAAUAGCUCGGGAGGCAGAGCGACAUGACUCCAUUUUAGAGAUGAGCAAACGGGGCUCCUGCACUCUGGGACCAUGACAGAGACACAGGAAGUGAGAGUGGGCUGAGGCCCUGCAGCAGUGGGGGCCGGCCUUGGACCGUGAUCCAACCCGACCAUGGCUGCCCAACCCCCACGGGCUCACCUGGCCCCUCAUCGAACCAUGUAUUACCCGAAUAAUUUAUUCUAGUGUCUGGGCCCAGCCCCGUGUCCCUCACUGACAACCAGACCAUGGAGGGCAGCCCUUGUGUUUUCCCAGGGGGAGGGGAGGGAGGAGGGGGUGGAUUCUUAAAGGGCUGCAGUGAGUGUGGCCCCAAAUGCACACCCAGGGUUAGGCACGCAGGUGAUGGCACAGGGAGCCCAGGUUCUAGGAAGUGGCACCUGCGGCCGGGGAGGCAGGGCCUGGAUUUUGCUGCCCCCUGGUGGCUAGCGGCCUGUCCAGGCAAAAGGCUUGGACCUGCAGCCCCUGUGGCUCAGAGGAAGAGACAGAGGAAGAGACAGACAGAGGUCUGAGGUCUCCCAUCAGAAGUCUCAGCUCCCAAGGCAAAUUCAGAGGUGGAGGGUCCCUUGGCCCUGUCCCAGCUCUGGCAGGGCGGCCCCCCACGUCCUGGCCUGCUGCCAGGGGUCGCGCCCACAGCCCUGCACCGAGCAGGGAAGGCCCAGGCCUGGGUGGGUCUUUCCGCAGGAUCCUGGGAUGUUGCUUAGGGGAAGCCGAGACCAGACGGGCAGUCACCUGUCUGGGAAAGCACCAGGCCCUGGCCGGGUGCGAUGGAUCACGCCUGUCAUCCCAGCAGUGUGGGAGGCCGAGGCGGGAAGAUCACGAGGUCAGGAGAUCGAGACCAUCCUGGCUAACACGGUGAAACCCCAUCUCUACUAAAAAUACAAAAAAUCAGCCUUGCAUGGCGACGGGCGCCUGUAGUCCCAGCUACUCCGGAGGCUGAGGCAGGAGAAUGGCGUGAACCCAGGAGGCGGAGCUUGCAGUGAGCCAAGAUCGCGCUGUUGCACUCCGGCCUGGGUGACAGAGCCAGACUCAAAAAAAAAAAAACAAAACACAAAAAACAAAAAGGAAAGCACUAGGCCCUGCGGAAGUCCCCAUGGUGACAUUCACGUCCUGGCCACGUGGGCGGGUGUAGGGGAGGGACCGCAGGGAGGCGGAAGUCCUUGUUUUUUCCUGCAGUCGGCCCAGGCAGGACCUGAGCAGCCUGAAGCCAUGAGUCGCUGCCACUGCUCUUUCUGUGCCUGGUGCAGCCCCAGCUCAUGGGGUCUGGGCCGCCUCUGAUCCCAUGCCCCCCACUUCACACUUGGGGUUCUGGCUUCCCCGCUGUGAGCCUGUCUCUCCUCCGUGGGACAGGCCAGCCUGGGCAGCCAUCCCUGUACCCACUGCCCAGCAUAUAGUGGGUGCCUCAUAAAUGUGGGCUGAACAGAGCCUGCCCCUGGGGCCCCACCCUCACUGCCAGGCAUACAGCAGGUGCCUCAUAAAUGUGGGCUGAACAGAUCCUGCCCAUGGGCCCCCCGACUUCCAGACAUAAAGUAGGUGCUACAUAAAUGCAGGCCAAACAGAAUCUACCCUGGGGGCCUCCACUUCCCUUUGAUGGGGGCAGAGACCCUCUGCCGGGCAGCGGCCACCCAGUGCCUGGGACAGGUGCCCCCUUCUCCCACCCUGGCCUAUCUUGGGGCAUCUGAGGGAGGACAGGGCUGUGCCCCCCACUUCAUCCUCGAGGGUCUGGCUUCCCCACCUGUGAGCUUGUCUCUCCUCCGUGGGAGGAGCAGCACCGUCGUUUUCACUUUCCGUGAUGACCACUGAGUGAGAGAAGAUGACGGCAGCUCCUGCGUUUAAAAAGGAACCAUCCGCGUAACUGCCGCAGGCAGGGCCCGUGCUCGGGCAGUGAGGCCUCGGCCCUGAGAAGGCCCGGACCCCACAGGCCUGGCCCUGGCUGAGAGGGAGUUGGAGUCCCCCGCCUGGGGCAGCCCCUCUGCACCUGGGGUGGUGGAGCAGGAGCUUGGCUGCAGGCGGGGCUUUCCUCCCAGCUCUGGGAGCCGCUUCGCUGCAAACGCUGUGACUGCAACCUCCGCCACCCAGGUUCAAGCGAUUCUCCCGCCUCAGCCUCCCGAGUAGCUGGGAUUACAAGGCACCUGACACCAUGCCCAGUUAAUUUUUGUAUUCUUCCUAGAGACGGGGUUUCACCAUGUUACUCAGGAUGGUCUCAAACUCCUGAUCUCAGAUGAUCCGCACGCCUCCACCUCCCAAAGUGCUGGGAUUACAGGCGUGAGCCACCAUGCUCGGCCUAGGUGACUUUUCAUGGGGAGAUAACACACAGGCAUGGUGAGCAGCGUGGCAGAGGACCUGUGUGCAGGGCCCUGUCUCCCGCCGGGGAAUCCUUCAUCUGGGAAAUCUCCGCUGCGGGACAGGGAUGCUGUGUCGUCAGGACGCAGCGUCUCUCCAGGGCACCCGGGCCUCCUCUGAGCCUCUUUGCGCUCUUUGGCUGCGUGCUUUCUUUCCUGUGGCAAAAGGUACAUGACGUUUUAUUGACCAUUUCAGCCAUUGGCAAGUGUGCAAAUCAGUGGCUUUAGUCCAUUCGCAAUGCAGCUGGACCCCACCCUUUCCUGAUUCCCGCAGGCCAGGGCUGAGGGCGGGGAGGGGCCUGUGCAGCAGCCUGAGACCGGCUGUCCAAUGGCAGAGCUUCCUUCUGGGAAAGCCAUGGGUCCCCUGGGGCCCCAUGCUGGAACCCCAGCAAUGGUGGUUCACGUGUCUCUCCAUCUCACUUCCCGUGCAAAAGCGACACAGGCGGGUACAAACCCAAACAGUGCAGACAUGGAGGAGACAGAAGGUGAAAAUGGUUUCUGAGCCCCUCCAGCCGCCCUCUGGGGACACCAGCCUGGCGUUCUUCAGACACAAGCACUCCCUGCAGCCAGGAAGAGGAGGAGGCAGCCGGGUCUUGGGCGCAGAGGGACCACCCUGUGAGGACAUAGGGAGCAGGUACCAUCUGCAGGCCCAGGAGGGAACCAACCCCACCUGCCCCUGCAUCUUGGACUUCCAGCCCCCAGAACCAUGACACCAUUGUGUUUCCAUUUCUUGAGCCCCCAAGUCUGUGGCCCUUUGCUUUGUUUUGACACCCCAGCAACAUGAGCCCCUUCCCAACCCCUCCCCAGCCCUGGCCCCAUCAUCCUUGACCUCUCUCUCCCUGCAGGUUAGAUCUGCCUGUCCCAGAAUUUCACCUGAAUCACAAAGCGUGGCGCCUCGGGGCCUGGCUCCCUUCACGUGGCCUGAUGUCUGCAUAUUCAUCCGCCGUGCAGUGUGUGUCCACGGUUCAUUUUGUGUUGCCACGGAGCAUCUCAUUGUGUGGCCCUAGCCCAGUGUGUUAAUCCGUUCACCUGCUGGUGGGUGUUGCAGUGGUUUCCAGCUCUUGGUUAUCACCGAGAAAGUGACUGUGAACUUCCGCACACACGUUUUGCUGAGGACAACUCCUUCCAUUUCACUUGGUUAUUAGGAGUGGAGUUGCUGGGUCCUAGGGAAGGGUCCACGUCUGACAAGUCCACCGUGGCUGCCCUUCUGGGCCUGUUGCUGCUGACUCACGUUCCCACGGCCACCUUUCCCUGCGUCUGGACGUAGUAGCAAUUUCUCGUUGGAUGUGGACAUUGUGCUGUGACCGCUUUGAUCACCUGGCAUUUUUGUUGGGUUGUUUUUGGCCUUCCUUUAAAGGACGCUGCGCUGUGUUCUGCGUGGAGUUCAGCUCCUUGCUCUUCACUUUGGUCUUCGUGUGGCUGGUUCUGAAGCCUCUCAGAGCAGGUCCAGCCCAGCCUUUCCUGCAGGAAGAGUCCAGCCCCACUCCCAGGACGGGCCCUGCUGGGUGGCUGCCAACAGCCCAGGAUCCUCCAGGACUCUCCCCCUGGCGGUUGGAACUCCUGUCUCCCACCUGUGAGUCCCAGGGGCCGGGGGUCCACAGCCCCCUAGGGUCCCAUCCAUGCUGAAGAGUCCACCUUCCACAUCCAUGGCGCCUGACUCCGGAGGCCUCAGAGGCCCUCAGGCAGCCUUCUGGAGCUUUCUGUCUGUGCAGUUCCCUCCCUUCUGGAGCUCUGCCUGCCAGGUCCCUCUGCGGAUGUCUCCCUGAGCACUGACCUCCUUCUCCUCAGCCCGCCAGGACUGCUGGACCUGCCUGGAUGCCCGCCCCUGCUCGGCCAUCCUCAAUGGGCCUCCACCCCAGGGCUGGGGUGACCCGGGCUGAAAACAGUUCAUCCUGAGUUUCAGUCUCGAGCUUUCGUGGCAGGAGGGAAACUGCUGGCUGUGUUACUCCACGGCGGCUGGAACGGACGGGACCAGCUCCCUUCAGAGGGGCACUUCGGUUGGUUCUAGAAUUCUCCUUUGCUAUGAAGGCUGCCGGGCACAUUCCACACCAGCCACCCUCCACCUCGCAUGUGCGUUUAUCGAUGAAACGCCACAGUGGGACCUCCUGGAUCAAAUAGUGCAAUGAUGUAAACGCUUAGUAUUGUCCUGGAACCUGCCUCCGAAAAGGCCGUGCGCUCCCGCCUGGGAUCCUGCUGCUCCUCCGCCGGCCGCCCCGCACACGCUCCGCUGCCUCUCUGGGCUGGCUCAGCCGUUGCAUGUUCCUGCGUGUGCACUGAGACGUCCACCCUGGCACGCUUCUUCCCCUCGGCACGUGGUCCCCACGCUGUGCCUGCCCAGCUCGGAGCCCAGAGGCCCCCGCAGCUCCCCACAACUUCAUGGUGCAGUGACCUGAGGCCUCCCCUGGCUCAGUCCCUUUCCCAGGGUCAGGGGUCCAUGUAUUGAACCAGGACGGGAGGUGCCUUCCCCCUGAGCUCUGUCCCUGCUGAACCUGGAAGGCAGCGCCCGGUGGCGGCUCAGACCCCCAGAGCCUCUUCUGAGGUCCGACACUCCUCUGCUCCCCC
rnacentral:lncRNA from 1 species